CUGAUGACACCGACAAAGCCUGUAUUUGUAUUUACUUUGACCUAGAAAGUUUGGUAUUGCCCGAUCUCAAUCAUGAUUGUUUAAAAAGCAUCAGUUCAUUUGAUAUUUAAAACUGCAGUUUCUGUAUCAGCUCUGAUUUUCCACAUUCUUUAACAACUUCAUUCUCAACUUACCAAACUUUAUUUCAUCAUGACUUUGUCCUCCUUAUGAACGCUUUACUCUUGUAAUAUGCAGGACUUUGUCACAACUUUUUCUUUAUAAUACUAGACACAUUAUUCUUGUAAUUAUACAGCUUUGGUUUCUUAAUCCCGAGGUCUCAUUUUCUCAAGAUCUAGUUCUCAUAAUAAUUUACAACCAUGCUCUUUACACCUUUUUUUCAUCCGUAAUGUGGCCCUGAUACUCACAUGUGUGGAUAGAAAACACUUAAAAUCAGUGAAAGUCUGAACAUCAUGAACAUUACUGACAGAGUGGAGAAAUGCUGAAACAUAGAUUAUGUAGCCUACAUCGUCCAGGGUUUUUGUUUGAGUGUUUGGGGGAAAAAAGGGGAAACUUGGAGUUUAUAUUUUAAAACUAUGGUGCAAAAUGUAUUGAUUUACCGCCUUUCCACUACAUUAAAAAACAAACUUGUUUGAAACUAUUUCUUUGCCGACGUAGAGCGGGCAGUUAAAUGUUACCUGAAUGAUAAUUGGAGCACCCCUGCUCCAUGUUUCCAAAUCAAACCUGCUUCAAGGAGGCAGGGUUAAGUCUCAAAGCCAAGGUAAUGAUGUCUUCUUUACCGCUCUUCUCUCCGCCCCCCCACCCCCCUCCCCCCAUGUUGUUACCCAGAUGUGGGUUGACCCCUGCAUGCAAGACGAUGCAAACAAUCACAGAAACAUGAAUGCUCAACGCUGCACACUCAAAAAACAUGGAGCGCUCAGAGCGGAGGAUCUGCUCUCUUUCUCUCUUAGAUACAAAUCUCAAACAUGUUCAUAUAAGUGGCAGCACACACACAUCCUCUGUCUCUUCCUGUCUUUCUCUCAUGCACACACACACACACACACACACACACACACACACUCAGAGAGGAUGAAUUAAAGGCCUCCCUGAUCAGUGCUGCCUCCCCGUCUCUAAGAGCACAGAGCCAGGGUCCCUGUCAGUUUAACUACGUGAAAUUACAACCCAAACGGGAUGUCAGGGGUUAGCGGUGUCUCCGAGAGAACUAUGUGAAUAUAUUUCCUCCUAUGGACUUGCCCCCAUCAUGACCUCCCCCAGGAACAAGAAGUAACCGUGUGAUUGGCGGUUUUACGGCCAAAUUAAACCGUCCUGCAGGCUGCUGAAGGCAGGAGGAGAAAGCAGCCGUUCCAAAAUUAGUGAGCCAUCAUCAUGACAGAAAGUAGUGGGGACAUGGUGUCAUCCAGCUACUGUAUCGAUUAACCCAUAAAUAGUAUAUGGCCUCCACACUGGGGCUCACACUGUAAAUGGAAGUUAUCUCAGCUGUCUUGCUCUGCUCUGCCUUAAACCCUGAUGUCUGCAGACUGCAGCCUGCUCUCCUUUUAUUGCAUGAAGAAAAAGAAGACAUCACACUCAUAAUUAGUGAAACGCAUGCUGUUUCUAGGAUGCUUAACACUUUGCUCCCAUAACAGUGUGACUUGAGUAAGUGGAGUAAAAAAGUGUAGGUGUUCCAUACUGGAAGGUUGCAUAUUUUUAAGAAAUAUUAAGAAAAUCCAGUGUGACUCUCUUCUCUGUCAGGUAACCUGCUGCAUUAUCCCCCUCCUCUCGGUCUUGACAUCGGGAUUAACAUAAAAGAGGAACGUCUGUCGAGCCUGCAUUGAUUUGCGCACAAGUUCGCCCGAUCAAUCUCAAAGUUGUGAUUAAAAAGCUGGAGCUGCUUCUAUUUUUCUAUUGAAAUCUUUUGGCAAAAAAAAGAGAGAGAGAGGUCUUUCAAUUUCAUAGCCUCCAGAACACUCAAGUAUUCAUUGCGCUCUAUUUUUCGCUUUCAACCUCUCUGCGGGAGGCAGGACUCAUGACAUCUAUGUAUGCUGCUUUCUUUCACAAUGCUAUUCAGCCUUCAGAUGUGAGCUGCAAGCGAUCCCUCAAACCCAUCAGAUCAGUCUUAUUGGCGUGCUCCCAGUUAUGGGCCUAUGACACUUCUCACAAGGAGACCCAUUCAGAUUCACUUUGUCCAAACGGAGGAGCAAUCUGCAGAAUUUGGCCAAGUUUCUGCAGAAAAAAAGCACAUACUGGAGGAUGCAUGCAUCUCCUGCAAACAGAUAAGUGUUUGUGCGUGUGGCUUUGUUGCUCUAUCUGUGUAUUCAUGUGGGUAUGUUCAUGUGUGGGAGUGGGUGUGUAAUGCAUGGCCCUGUUGAGAAGAGUGAUUGCUUUAUUCCUGCCUUGUAGGUGCUGUGGGGGCCGGGCCGUGUCUUUGGGCAGCUGUAUGGAUGGCUUGAGGAGGUCUCCAUCAUUCAUAAAGCGCACUCCUACAUGUAGAAUUGAUCUUGCAAAGAAACAGGGUGGCAAUAGCAGUUCAUCAGUCUUCCACCACCACAAAUCACUCGGAGGUGUCCCCCCCGGGGGAGAGGUGACACCAUUGUCAGUGUGGCAGUCCCCUCGGACAACAGAAGGGGCAGGGUACAGACCCUUGCUCUAAAGGGGGGCUGCACAGUGUCAGUAGAGUGAUAAAGGCUCUAAGGAAAACCUGCAGCAAUGAUAGGGACAGUGAUCUGCUCCGAAUUCUUAACUCUAAAAAGGUAAAUACCUGGAGUCUGUUGAACAAUAGCGCCAAAUCAAGCCAUAAGCACCAAUGACUAUGUGACACUUAAACGAUUAUCUAUUUAAAUGCACAUUUUUCGACCUCUUUAUUAAAGUCUGCAGCAAAAUAUUUAAUUUAAAUAAGCACACAUACAACAUAUAAAUGUUUAAACUAAAAAUGUUAUUGUUUUUUCUUUUUUUUUUUUUUUUUAAUUUACUCAUCUAAAAUUUGUUGUUGGCAAUAUGUUUCAAAAAAUUAGCUAUACAGGAACAACCAAACAGGUAAAAAGUUGUGUAAUACUUAAAAAAUAAAAACAGCUGGAGGAAUUUCUCCAACACCUGAGGUGAAUUUCCACCAACAGGUUAGUAACAUGACUGGGUAUAAAAAUGACAUUCAGAGAGUCUGAGUCUCUUAGAGGGUAGGAUGGGAAGAGGUUCACCACUCUGUGAGAGACUGUGUGAGCUAAUAGUUCAAUAGUUUCAGAAAAAUGUUCCUGAGAGUCAAAUGUGAAAGAGUGAGUGGACUUCAUCACCUGAAGUACAUAUUAUCAUUAAAAGAUCCAGAGAAUCUGAAGAAAUCUCUGGACUAAGGGGACAAGAACCAAAACCAAGACUUGAUGGUCCUGAUCUUUAGGCCCUCAGGCAGCACUGCAUUAAAGACAGACGGGACUCUGGAGUGGAAAUCACUGCAAGGACCCAAAAUCACCUCCAAAAAACAACACAAUUCAUCUCAGUAUCCACAAAUGAGGUUCAAACUGAACCAUGUAAAGAGGAAACCAAACAGAAACAGGAUCUAGAAACAAACAUUGUCAUUCAUUUUGGGAAAAGUAGACCCUUCAUCCUCCUCUCGAAGAGUAGAGGGUUCUUCAGGCUUGUUCUCAGCUCCCAGUCCAAGUCCAAGUCAAGCCUCCCUGAUGGUAUUCCAGCAAGACAAUGACAAACCACAUUCUGACAACAGGGAUUACAACAGCAUGGCUCUGUAGUAGAAGAGUCCUGCUGAUGAACUGGUCCGCCUGUAGUCCUGACUUGUCCCUCAUUGAAAACAUUUGGAUCAUCAUGACACCAAAAAACAGGACAAAGGAGACCCUAAACUACUUUUAAUCAAAUGAGCUGAUUUUUUAAAUCUUUUUGCCUGUGGUCAUCAAAUGCCGUUUUAUGUAAUCACGUCACACAGUGACCCAGCACUUGCAAAAACAGGUUUUUACAGCAGAAUGAUCAAACUCUUGUUGCUCGAACAUGUCCUUCGCCUCUCCAGUCUGGACAGUGAUUGAGAAAGAGCUGCUUGUUGGCUGUCUGCAGAGAAGCAGAGGGAAAUGUUAAGGAGACCUUUUCACGGCUGAGCCGCUCAGUUUGUGAAUGUUAAUGUUUUUUAAUGGAGACAUGCACUGAAAACUCAACGGAACAGCUUGAUAGGAUGUGCGCAGCUUGAAAACUGAGAGAGAUGUGACUGAAAAGAGAUUUUUUUUGGAGCAAGCGAUUUUUGCUCAAGGGCACAAACUGCCCCAAAGAGCAAUAACCAACAUGUCAGAGGCUUAGAGAAAGAUCCGGAGUGUUUAAGGUGGAUUGGUGGAAGUUUUUUAAAGGUGAGCUUUCAUCACAUGUCCACCUUUCAUGAGCUUUUCUAUUUUCAGUGUGAAGUUAAUGAAUUAGGAUCUGGAAAAGGUUUUUCUGCAGGCUUACACUGAGGAAUGAUAAGAGAUUAUUUUAGAAUGAAGAUCAAUGGCAAAGUCCAAACGGUGUGAGGAGGAGGAUGAGGAGGAGGAGGAGGAGCAUGAACACUAAUGUAAGAUGAGUGUAAUGUGCAACCCAAGGCCAAAGGCAAGAGCUUCAUCUCACCAAUUCUCUUUACAGGAGUGGAAAUUACUUGGUGUCGUACAUAACAGAUUUAUACAAAUUAAUGACCCCAGUUAUUAAUAGGCAGAGAUGCAUAUAUUAAACACAAUGAGUAAAGGUAGCUUUAAUUAUGCAUCCUUUAUAAAACCUGUUUGACUUCAGCGGCUGGCGUGCAGGUGCUUUUCAAAAUUAAUCAGACUCCUGAAAUAUGGGAGUUGAUAUCAUGCAUCCGUCUCCUUUUGAAUUAUUUCCCCGCUCAUAUUUCAACAGGCUCAAUUCAACAAAAAAGUUUGAAGACUGUAAAAUGUAAAUAAAAAACAAUCUUGAUCAUUUCCAAAUAGUUUGAGGACAAAGCAAAGAUGACAUAUCAAAUGUUAAAUCUGAAAAAUAUAAAUCUUUCAUAAAAAUAUGUCUUCUCAUUGUGAUUUUGACUUCAGUUACACAUUUCUGAAAAGUAGUUCCAGGAUCUUCUUUCUCAUCCUGCAUCCUCAACUCUCUGUAAACAUCAGUGAACCCAGCAGACCAAGUUCUGGAGUCUGAAAGUCAAUUGUUUUAGCUGCUCAAGAGUUCAGGGUCUCCUCAGUCCUGUUUUUUGGUGUCAUGAUGCUCUAAAUGUUUUCAACGGGGGACAAGUCAGGAUUGCAGG
rnacentral:lncRNA from 1 species